AAACCCUUCAUGUCAAACGCCCAUCCAACUGAUAAAUUGUCCUUGAACCUGGUGUAUCGUACAUGUGUGCACCAUGAUUUUUUUAUUUUUUUUUGAGAGAUAGGUAGCACGCUACCUGCCUCGUCUAUUUUAUUUGAAAAUAAACUUAGCUGAAAAUGUGAAUCAACUAGAAUUCGAACUUGGGUCUCGGAUACCAACCAUCAAGCCCUUCGCCACUUGCUUUACGGACGGUUGGUUGCACCAUAAUUUUUUAAUCUCCAUUAUAUUUCAUAUAAUAACUUGAACUCCGAACUAAAGCUCUCUAUUUUUGAAAACCACGCAUGAUCUUGAACAUUCGUCCUCCUUUCUAGCACUGUGUGGCUAUUGAAUUAGAUGAUCAUAUUACAAAUAAUCAAUUCAAAUUAGUACAGAUUUAAGUCGUAA
rnacentral:lncRNA from 1 species